AAGUCGUAACAAGGUUUCCGUAGGUGAACCUGCGGAAGGAUCAUUAACACGUAUCCAACGUUAAACAACCCUGUGAACUUUCAGCCUGCUCUUGCAUCCCAUGAGGAAUAGCAAUCCCGGUAAAUCAUUGCCAAACAGUUUUGAUUCGGGACCUCUGUCCAAAGGAGUGUGCAAUUGAGCGGUAGAGGCAGUGGCAUGGCUUCCCCAAGUAGUCAGUGAAUGACAGUGUCACUGGCUUUGUAAGGAUAACGCCUCACGGUUGCUGGAGGUCGAUCACCGACCGGCAGACAUGUCACAGGGUCACCACGCCCCUUAAUAACCCCACUUUUAAAUGCCCCGCCUAGUGGUAACGCGCUAGGUAAAAAAACCGAACAACUGUUAACAAUGGAUAUCUUGGUUCUCGC
rnacentral:misc_RNA from 1 species